rnacentral:rRNA from 1 species
GACAACUCCGGGAAACUGGAGCUAAUACCGGAUAAGCCCUUUGGGGGAAAGAUUUAUCGCCGAAGGAUCGGCCCGCGUCGGAUUAUCUUGUUGGUGGGGUAACGGCCUACCAAGGCUAUGAUCCCUAGCUGGUCUGAGAGGAUGAUCAGCCACACUGGGACUGAGACACGGCCCAAACUCCUACGGGAGGCAGCAGUGGGGAAUAUUGGACAAUGGGCGCAAGCCUGAUCCAGCCAUGCCCGCGUGAGUGAUGAAAGGCCCUAGGGUUGUAAAGCUCUUUCGCCAGGGAUGAUAAUGACAGCUACCUGGUUAAAACAAACCCCGGCUAACUCCGUGCCAGCAGCCGCGGUAAUACGAAGGGGGCUAGCGUUGUUCGGAAUUACUGGGCGUAAAGCGCAUGCAGGCGGAUCGCUAAGUCAGGGGUGAAAGCCCGAGGCUCAACCUCGGAACUGCCUUUGAUACUGGCGAUCUUGAGUCCGGGAGAGGUGAGUGGAACUCCGAGUGUAGAGGUGAAAUUCGUAGAUAUUCGGAAGAACACCAGUGG